CGGUCACGACAGAUCCGGUGGACUCCCUCUAUCAAUCCCUCGCUAGCCCUACCUCGUCUCCCGUCUCCGGUCGCAGCCGCCGCCACACCUGGCGACCCAUGCGCAGUACACCCACGCCGCCGGAUAGCCCCGCCACCCAUACCUGUCGUCCCCUGCGCCACCCAUCCCUGCCUCGCCGCGCCCGCCGCCUCCCCUUCACACCGCCGCCCCCUCGAACUGUUUCCUACAUCGAUUGUCAAGAAUGCCCCAGCUGCCAUAGCCUCCGCCGCCGAUGUCCAGCUGAGACGCGCCAAGGAGAUCUCGCGACUCCGCCAUGUCGAUGAGUACCCCACUUGACGGCUUGCUCCCGCCCCCCGCGCAGAUCCUCUUCGUCGCCAACGAGAGCUAUUCACCGGCCAGAUUCCAUCAGAGAGGAGGAGGUCCACCGGCCAGAUCCUGAUCCUCCUUGCACCACCGCCGCGUCGCUGCCCCAAUGCUCCACACGAUGCACCGCCACCCGCAUCCCAGAAAUUUUUCGAUCCAAUCUUCGUCUCGCUGUCUCGUCUCACAGCAUGCCGCCUCCCCUUUUCAAGAUGGGGAGCUCGAGCAACCUCGAGCAACUGCCGCCGCCGCCGUCACGUAUGGCCCUGCGAGCUCGUACAGCAUGUGCCCCGCCCUCCCUCCUCCUCCCCUGUCAGCCACGAAGGCUAUGCCCGUCUAUGGAUUCUCAGUCUCAUGGAAUGCUCACCUUAGGCUCUGUACUGUGGGUAGCUUGACGUUGUUGAGGCUCUCGAAUAUUGUUGAUCGAGUCAAUGGAUGUUUCCUGGUUGCUCUUAUGGUGAGGAUUAGGUACUUCUCUUCGACGAUGAUGUCACCAACACAACAGAUGUAGCUUGCGGAUCCCACAGCAUGACUCAGAUGCUGACGAUGAACCGGACUACCCGUUGUAAUCUGAACACCUAAAGAAGGAUGAUGUUCAGGUGAGGGCGGGACUUGAGGGAGGGCGUGGUUGUUGGAGGACGCCGCCGCCGCCAUCGUGGAACUCUAGGGUCAGGGGGUGGUCUGCGGUCAGCGAGGACCGGCAAGGCCGUGUCAAUCGUUCCCUACAUCGCGGAACAUCACAAAUAUUUACAUUCUGUUCGUUUUCUGAAUUUUUCUGUUCAUUUCUGUAUUUCCUGAUCGUUUGUAUGCUUCACCUGUCCUGAACAUCGUUUCUUGCAGCGAGGAGCGGCGCAAGGCCGUGCCCUACAUCACCGAACAUCACAGGUAUAUAGAUACAAUGUGAGGGCGCUGGACGCACGCUCAAUGAGAGGGACCUCUGCCAGCUUUUGUUCGAGAUGGACGAGCGAAGGCGCGUCCGAACGACUGCCAGAUUGUGGCAGAGGACGUGAGUGGCCAGGACCGUUGCGAGCCGGGUGGACGCAGGCAUGGUGAAGUGUGUUGGCAGAGCAGAUAUGGGAAGCUGGGCAGGGAACCGACGGAGUGGCAGGCAUUGCAACGGAGUUCGGAGGACGUAUCAUGGUGGGAGGUGGGGCAACACGGGUCUUGGGUCUGAAGAGUUAUUUUCUUAACUGUUUUUGGAUAUAGUUUUCUCAACGGCUCUGUCUGCAAGGGGCAUGUUGGAGAGGCUAGGAGCAAGGAUUUUGUAGUAGAGAUAUGGUCUGGGAUGGAAACAUUGGGAGAUAUGUUGCUGGGAGCAAAAAAAAUAUGUACUUAAAUCAGUCGACGCCAUUGCCCAGGUCAUGCUACCAGCCCGCACCAAAAAUUCAUCCGCCGACGAGUGGGAUUGAUAUGCAGUAGGACGUCCAUGACAAGCAUUCUUGGGAUAAAUAGCCUAUGAAGUCAAGACUCUAGAUAUGGCCAAACUUCUGUCCAGGCCGCAUGGUGGAGAGAGGAUACUCAACUUUGGAGGACAGUGUCUCAAUGGCGAUCAACUGCGGAUUCUUAUUGAAGGACUAGCGAAAAAUGAAUUACUGUACCAUACAAAUUUGUUAACAGUUUUCAGGGAAUAUGGUACCGCAUGAUGGAGGAUGGUAGAAAAUCAGAUCUAAGUUUGCACCAAAUGUGACUUUGCCUUUGUCAUAUGGAAAUGUCUCACGCCGAUGCUAUAUCUAACACUGACAUUCGGCGAAGUUUCAUGCCGUCACCCUAUUGGGAGCGUUGUCAUUGAGAUCGGGGGUCGUUGUUCGUGCCUCAGCGAGGUGUUAGGCUUGUUCUAGGCUCAUGUUGUAUCUUUUGAUCUACUUUGUAAGGGGACCUUCCCACUAUAUUGUAUCGUUCGAUCGUGUACUUUGGUUCGUUGCUUAAAGCGGGGUGAAAGCCUGUUCCGAGAGAGGGAUAAGUGCCAAUCGGCCAGGUUUCUGAUCCUGGCGCAUGUGCUAAGUACCGAGUGUUGGUGCUUCCCUAAGGGGACGAUCAAGGAGCAUAACAAAGAUGUAGUGACAAAAAUAUAGCGGCAUAGUUUAUUAGAUCCGAUGGUCUGAUGGAGAAGGAUGAAUAGAGGAGAAAAAAAACACAUGUAUAUUAGCGAGGUGAGUGUAGAAAGAAACGUCUUGAAAAUAGAAAUGAGGAAGGCAAAAGUUCCCUCUAGAUAGAGAAAGGAGACUAAUAUUGCGGUUCUUUAUAUAACAAUAGUAAAACAAUGUGUGUUUGCAUAAUAUUUAUAUUAUCCAGUGGCAACAUAUGUACAUUUUAUUGCUUUGGUAAGGAAGGUAUGUACAUCUUUUCUUAAAUAUUAGUAUAUUUGUUUAUCCGUAUUAUUGCCAGUAGCAACGCACGGGCAUUUUGCUAGUUAGACAUUUAAUGUCCAACCAUCGGUCGGCAAUAGGCGCAUACUUAUCCCACCAUCGGUCAGGAAACAUUACCGACCGACUAUUGCUUGGGCCAGCGUCAAAACGCCCGCGCGUUCGGUUGUUUGUGGCAGCGAAAAAGGCUUAGCGCCAACCAGCCCAAAAUAUCCUUCUACAUUUUCUUUGCUUUCCCCUCCAGCCACCACACACUAUUCCUAUUCCCCCCACCUCCGGCGACUGCGCCGCGACUCUCUUAUCCUUUUGUCCGGCGAGCCGCCCUCCACUCCGCGGCCGCGCCAUCUACUCCUUACCUGCCUCACCUUAUCCCCUCCUCCCAUCUCUCCACUCUGCCUCUCAGUGCUCCCGUGCUCCUCUGGCGCCCGCUCCCAGAUCUGGCCGCCUAGGGUUCGCUGCCGCCUAAGAUGGCCACCAUGGAGCUCGACGCCGCUGGAUCCGGCGGCCAAGUCCUUGACCAGAUGCCGCGGUCAAGGAGGAGGCAGGGUCAAGAAGAGGCGGCGCCGUCCCAGGCUGGUGCGAGAAGCGCGCUGGUCCUCCUUCCGGCCAGUGGCUACCUUGCUCUAGGCUUGCUCCUGGGGUAAUGUUGAGCGACGGCGGCGGCGAAAAUCACCUGGGACGCGAAGGAGAAGCAUGGUGUCCGACCAUUAGGGGUAGGGAAGCAUGGAUCCAGUGGCUGCAACUAAUUUCUGGGCUAAUUCGAGCUGCCUCCUUGCCACCAUGGCCUCAGGUGUAAGCGGGUGACGGUGUUGCUAAAACUCAAAGCCACCAAUGCAACUCCCACAACUCGACCAUACCUCAGGCUUGAUAUUCUUCCUUAAUCCCACGUGUUUCUAUUGGAAAGUACUCUAUGGUUAACGGAUUGUUCCUUUCAUGAUGUGCGUAGCGAGAUUGAUAAUUUUUCGGAAAUGUUAACGCCCACACGUGUGGGUGUUUGCACAUCGCCCACACGCCUCCAUCACCACUCAUUUUGCCAUGUAUGAAUAGAUGACAUCAGCAGAAUUUUUUUUGGUUUUCGGCUUAAAAAUGUUGUAUCUCCUAAAUAAAAAAGCGAACUAAAAAUCCGUUUUCACCAUUAAAUCCGUCUCGACGAGAUCUUCAAAACUAGACCCCAUGUUGAUAUGUUUUGACGAAUUUUUUUUUGCCAGAAGUUGCCACGAUGUUUACACUGCAGUUGCCAUAGGGCUUAAACUAAAGUUGCCAUGUGGCAAUUUUAGUUUAUAGAUCAUGGCAAUUUUAGUAUUUUGAUGAUGGCAACUCCAGUACUUUGACCAUGAAAAUUAUUUUUUGUAUGAACCAUGGCAAUUUUACGUGCAUGUAUCAUGGCAAUUUUAGUUUAUGGUUCAUGGCAAGUCUAGUUUCUUAAUUCCCCGUUUUAUAAAUGUUAAAAUUUACUUUUAAAUGUAGAAGAAAAUAGCUGAAACAUAUCAUGGCAACUUCAGUGUAAACAUCAUGGCAAUUCAUAUGCAAUAGACAUGACAACUUUUAAUCCAAUUUUUUUUUCAUCAAAACAUAUCAACAUGGGAUCUAGUUUCGAAGAUCUCAUCGCGAGGGAUUUAAUGGUGAAAACGGAUUUUCAAUCGGAUUUUUCGUUUAAGAGAUAAAACAUUUUAAAAACUGAAAAUCCAAAAAGAUUCCUGCAUGUAUGCAUGCGAUGACGUGGCAAUCUGUUUACAUUAGAGACGUGUGGUGCGUCUCCCUUCCUGCCAUACGUGUGGCAGUUAGCGCGACCCUAAUUUUUUAGUACGGGUUGAACACGUCUUAGGUUGGUCAAACUAUCCUGAUACUAGCAUGUAUAUCCAUAUAGUCCUUAUUCCUUAAGCAGAUUGAUUUUUUCAAGUAAUUGCCUUAAUAGCAGAAAAUAGUGUACCGAUGAAUAGAAUAAUAUGAAUAUUGCCCUGUCUAACAGUUCAUCUCUCCAUGCUCUGGCAAGUGCUGCUUCAUCCCUCAAAUUGACUGAUGUAACCAGAUUAAAAUUGUACGCACACGAGAAAAAAAGAUCGCCAAUAUGCACAUCCACCGUAACAAAAAAUGUUUGAGCUGGUAGUAUAUAGUAUUUGAGCAAAAUGUUUUGUAUAGAUAUAAAUAGGUGGAACUCGGCAAUCAACAAUUACUAGAAAACUACUGGCUGGCUAUAAGUUCAGCAACAUGUAUUCCUCACUAGUUAAGCAUAUUGACAAGUAGUAUCAUGAUUACUUUGUUCUUUAUACCUUUUUCGUUCGUGAAAGUAAAGCCUUCCUGCAGAGUGAUCAACUAAUUUUGAUGGUAAUUCACAUAUAUUCUGCUUGACCAAUUUUGCAGGAAGCCAAUGUACAUGGGAUUUAUGAAGUAUAAAUUUCUGUCUCUAUGCUCCAUGUGAUUUGUUUAGUUUAUUUUUAGACCUGGGCACUUUUAUCAAAUGGAGUUCAAUCCAGCACUGAAACUCUGUUCCAGUAUAUUACUAUAACUCUCUGUUCUGUACAGUCAUUGUUAUUUCAAACAAGACUGACAAUUUUUAUCAUGGGACAUGUAUUGGUCCUUAAUAAGUGUCAAAUGAACUUACUCCUUUCCUAGCCAUCGAUGCAAUCCAAAUGUUAAGAUGCACUAUUUAAGUGAACAUAGAUUGCUUAUGCAGGUGCAUACUGUACUACUUACUGCGGCUUCUGAAUUUAUGGAUUGUGUACAAAGUUUUCAUUGUUUCUGCAGGAGAGAUAUGCAUGAGGACUAAUAAACAAGUAGCCGAGGUUCGCUCCAACUGGAUGUUUUGUAUAUUUUUACAUUGGACAUUCACCUCUUAGCUAUCCUUUUGUGAGUCUGAUGUAUGGUGUCUCGGACAAUGAAUCAGAAAUAAUAGUACCACCAAGUUACCUUUUGUGAACCUGAUGUAUGGUGUCUUGGUGAUUAUGUUUGGAACAAAUGAACUAUAUGUAUGUGUCAGUUAAUGGAAUAGAAAAUGUUUGGUGCACUUAGUUA